rnacentral:lncRNA from 1 species
AUGAAAACAGCUGAUUCGAUGGAUGUGGCAUCUUUUUUUCUUGUGCUUGCCUAGAUAACACCCAUGCCCAGGCAUCAAAACUAGGGGUUUCCCAGGCAACCAAUCGCAAUCUUUGGACAUUCAUGGACACUGUUUGACUUUUGAGCCUUGGAUGGCUGGAAUCUGGAUCAUCUUGAAGUGAUGAUAUCGGUGACACUGGUUGGCUCAAGGGAGGGUACGUGAGUUGUGGAGCAGCAGGUAUGCUGCAUAGUGUUGAGCAAUCAAGAACACAAAGACAACGGACCAGCAGUAUGUGCAGGCCAGAUGUUUCUAUUCCUGGUGCCUCCAUCUCCUAGAAAUGAUCAGAAAAGUUAGCCCGGAGGUUGUAUGUGGUUGGCUUGCUCUACAGAAGCGAAUACAAUAAGGACGCGCUUCAUGUCACAAGUGAACUGUAGCAAAUGACAGGGUUUGAGCAUCAUUUCUGGAAUUCUGGGUGCAGAAUAGAACUAGCUUGUAGUGUUCUCCCUUUAAAAUUAAAUGUAAAGGCCCGUGAACUUAUGGUUCUAUAUGAGCUAGCAAUUCUAAUAGUCAUAAAUGUUAGAAGUUCCUGAGUAAAUUUAAAGCCCAUGGAUAAUCCAAACUGUUUAUUGCUCUUUCCCUCUCUCUCUCUCUCCCUCUCCCUCUCCCUCUCUCUCACACACACACACAUUUAUUCAUAUCCUUACCCAAAAGACAUAUAGAAGUUUUGUAAUAUUUCUC